GCACUAGUAGCUCAGUACUAAGAGCGUCA
rnacentral:tRNA from 1 species